UUAGCGGCGGACGGGUGAGUAACACGUGGGUAACCUGCCUGUAAGACUGGGAUAACAUUCGGAAACGAAUGCUAAUACCGGAUACGCGGCUUGGUCGCAUGACCGAGCCGGGAAAGAUGGAGCAAUCUAUCACUUAYAGAUGGACCCGCGGCGCAUUAGCUAGUUGGUGAGGUAACGGCUCACCAAGGCGACGAUGCGUAGCCGACCUGAGAGGGUGAUCGGCCACACUGGGACUGAGACACGGCCCAGACUCCUACGGGAGGCAGCAGUAGGGAAUCUUCCGCAAUGGACGAAAGUCUGACGGAGCAACGCCGCGUGAGUGAUGAAGGUUUUCGGAUCGUAAAGCUCUGUUGCCAGGGAAGAAUGCUUGGGAGAGUAACUGCUCUCAAGGUGACGGUACCUGAGAAGAAAGCCCCGGCUAACU
rnacentral:rRNA from 1 species